GUUAGCUCAGUUGGCUAAAGCAUGGUGUUGAUAACACUGAGGUUGCAGGUUUUAUCCCUGUAUGGGACA